GGAGAGAUGGCCGAGUGGUUGAAGGCGCACGCCUGGAACGCGUGUAUGUGGCAAAACUGCAUCGUGGGUUCGAAUCCCACUCUCUCCGCCA
rnacentral:tRNA from 1 species